GACGUAGGGCGCGAGCGUUGUCUGGAAUUAUUGGGCGUAAAAGAGCUCGUAGGCGGCUUGUCACGUCGAUUGUGAAAGCCCGAGGCUUAACCUCGGGUCUGCAGUCGAUACGGGCUAGCUAGAGUGUGGUAGGGGAGAUCGGAAUUCCUGGUGUAACGGUGAAAUGCGCAGAUAUCAGGAGGAACACCGGUGGCGAAGGCGGAUCUCUGGGCCAUUACUGACGCUGAGGAGCGAAAAGCGUGGGGGAGCGAACAGG
rnacentral:rRNA from 1 species